rnacentral:rRNA from 1 species
GGCCUAACACAUGCAAGUCGAACGGCAGCACGGGGGCAACCCUGGUGGCGAGUGGCGAACGGGUGAGUAACAUAUCGGAACGUGCCCUGGAGUGGGGGAUAACUAGUCGAAAGAUUAGCUAAUACCGCAUACGAUCUACGGAUGAAAGUGGGGGAUCGCAAGACCUCAUGCUCGUGGAGCGGCCGAUAUCUGAUUAGCUAGUUGGUGGGGUAAAGGCCUACCAAGGCAUCGAUCAGUAGCUGGUCUGAGAGGACGACCAGCCACACUGGGACUGAGACACGGCCCAGACCCCUACGGGAGGCAGCAGUGGGGAAUUUUGGACAAUGGGCGCAAGCCUGAUCCAGCAAUGCCGCGUGAGCGAAGAAGGCCUUCGGGUUGUAAAGCUCUUUUGUCAGGGAAGGAACGGCGGGGGCUAAUAUCCCUUGCUAAUGACGGUACCUGAAGAAUAAGCACCGGCUAACUACGUGCCAGCAGCCGCGGUAAUACGUAGGGUGCAAGCGUUAAUCGGAAUUACUGGGCGUAAAGCGUGCGCAGGCGGUUGUGCAAGACCGAUGUGAAAUCCCCGGGCUUAACCUGGGAAUGGCAUUGGUGACUGCACGGCUAGAGUGUGUCAGAGGGGGGUAGAAUUCCACGUGUAGCAGUGAAAUGCGUAGAGAUGUGGAGGAAUACCGAUGGCGAAGGCAGCCCCCUGGGAUAACACUGACGCUCAUGCACGAAAGCGUGGGGAGCAAACAGGAUUAGAUACCCUGGUAGUCCACGCCCUAAACGAUGUCAACUAGUUGUCGGGUCUUAAUUGACUUGGUAACGCAGCUAACGCGUGAAGUUGACCGCCUGGGGGAGUACGGUCGCAAGAUUAAAACUCAAAGGAAUUGACGGGGACCCGCA